UUGGUUUGGGGGGUUGCUUUCCAGGACUUGGUUUGUGGGAGGGGUUGCUUUCCAGGACUUGGUUUGUGGGAGGGGGGUUGCUUUCCAGGACUUGGUUUGUGGGAGGGGUUGCUUUCCAGGACUUGGUUGUGGGAGGGGUUGCUUUCCAGGACUUGGUUGUGGGAGGGGUUGCUUUCCAGGACUUGGUUGUGGGAGGGGUUGCUUUCCAGGACUUGGUUGUGGGAGGGGUUGCUUUCCAGGACUUGGUUGUGGGAGGGGGGGGUUGCUUUCCAGGACUUGGUUGUGGGAGGGGUUGCUUUCCAGGACUUGGUUGUGGGAGGGGUUGCUUUCCAGGACUUGGUUGUGGGAGGGGUUGCUUUCCAGGACUUGGUUUGUGGGAGGGG
ensembl:lncRNA